UGUACGCGUAGUGUGGUGAACUGUGUCGCGAUGUUUGGUUACGAUUGUCAAUUCACAACGCGCUCGGUUCCGAACGUAGCUUGUCGCUAGUCAUAUCAGAGUUUCCUCUCGUAAUUACUUUUCUUUCAAAUAAUCGUAAACCAAAUAAAGAAAAAACUAAUGUAUAAAUUACCUCUUGAAUUGGAAAACCAAUUACAGAACGUCACACAAACAAAAGCCAUUAUAUAGGGUUUCGAUCGCAUAAUUAAUCAGUAUCUACUUACCAGUCUUUAACGGAAGGACAAAAAGAAGAGCAGACGGCACACAGACCGCAAUCAUGAUCAUUUUCAAGUAGAAUCUCAAACUGCCGUACAUCUUCGAAAACUUCGUUAGUCGUAAGGGAUCAAAGGAUGAUGUCCGCGCUGCGGAAAAUAGACGAGAAGCGGCUAUUUCAACAACCACCGUGUGUAUUCUGUGCGGCUAAAGCAGUCACCUAAUGAAUUAUUGAGUACCAGGAAUGUUAGCGGUAAACAGGAUUGCGGCUAUGAAUGAUUCUCUAAUGUCUAUAUUAGAGAUGAAUUUGAUAAUUUAUCCUCAUAAUAUGCAAUCCGCUUUUAAGUGGAAAUCAUAAUUAACAAUUUCUGUUUGAUUAAAUAUGAAGAGCAGAUAAAUCGAUACGCUUAAAUCAA